GUGUGUGUGUGUGGUUGUGUAGUGGGGAGGGGGUUGCAAAGGGAGUAACAUCUGGUUCUUUUGUUACUUAGGUGUAGAAAGUUGGGGUUUUCCUUUUUUUUUUUUUUUUUUUUGAGACGGAGUCUUGCUGUGUCGCUCAGGCUUGAGUGCAGUGGCGCGAUCUGGGCUCACUGCAAGCUCCGCCUCCCAGGUUCACGCCAUUCUCCUGCCUCAGCCUCCGGAGUAGCUGGGACUGCAGGCGCCUGCCACCACGCCCGGCUAAUUUUGUUUUUGUAUCUUUAGUAGAGACGGGGUUUCACCCUGUUAGCCAGGAUGGUCUUGAUCUCCUGAUCUCGUCAUCCGCCCGCCUCGGCCUCCCAAAGUGCUGGGAUUACAGGCCUGAGCCACCACGCCCGGCCGGGGUUUUACAUUUGAUUUAGUUCUAGGAAAUCAGUGUGAAUCUGCCUUAGGUUCCCUGCCUCCAGACCAUAUUCUCCUGCGGCAACACUUUGCUGAGAACUAUUCUUGAAAAUACGGGGAUUGGUAUUUUCAUGGUGGUUUUCAUGGAGCUGAGAACUAAGAAGAUAAUGACUGCUUCCUUCAUUUGGGGAUGGGAUUUAAAUGUAAUGGAGCAUUCAUUGUUUUCUUGAGAAGGUGGGAGAUACUAGUUCCUUAGAAAGAAAAAGGGGUGCGAGAGGCAGGAUUUUAGGAACUCAAAUCUAGGUGGGAACCGGGAAGCAUGAUUUCUUUUUUCUUUCCCAACCCCAAUCUUCUGUUUUGUAAUUCUGUAAUUUUAAAAACUUGACUGUACUCUUGUGGGUUUUUUUUCCUCCCUCAAUAUUUGGGAAAGUUUGAAAAAUGCCAGCCCUUUUCAGCUGUGUCAAGUGCAACCAGGAAAGGGCUUGGGGGUGCUGCACCUCAGUCCAGUAGAGGUUUCAUGGUAAAGCAUCUUGGCUUGGAGGAAGAGGAGGAAUAAGACAACUGUGCAUCUCUUGAGGAUCCAGAACGUGGACCUGCGCCUAGUGGAUUCAUGAUUUAUUUGAAACUCUGGUGUGAUGGUUAAUACUGAGUGUCAACUUGAUUGGAUUGAAGCAUGCCAAACUAUUGAUCCUGGGUGUGUCUGUGAGGGUGUCGCCAAAGGAGAUUAACAUUUAAGUCAGGGGGCUGGGGAAGACAGACCCACCCUUAAUUUGGUGGUCACAAUCUAGUCAGCUGCCAGCAAAUAUAAAGCAGGCAUUAAAACCUGAAAAGGCGAGACUGGCCUAGCCUCCCUGCCUCCAUCUUUCUCCGGUGCUGGAUGCUUCCUGCUGUCAAACAUCAGACUCCAAGUUCUUCAGUUUUGACGUUCGGUUUGGCUCUCCCUGCUCCUCAAGCUUGCAGUCAGCCUAUUGUGGGACCUUCUGAUCAUCUUAAGUUAAUACUUAAUAAACUCCUAUAUACAUACAUAU